AUGACAGCCCUGGAAACUGAAGUCCUGUAUUUAAGCACAGAAUAAGUACAGUUUGGCGCAGUACCAGUGCAAGUUUCCACAUGCCCUGUUCUGACCUGAAUGGACCAUCUUAAAAGCUGAGAGCAGUGCAGCCCUCAUACCUAAUUCACUCCCUUGCCAAG
rnacentral:sRNA from 1 species